rnacentral:rRNA from 1 species
CGAACGCUGGCGGCGUGCCUAAUACAUGCAAGUCGAACGCACUCUCGUUUAGAUUGAAGGAGCUUGCUCCUGAUUGAUAAACAUUUGAGUGAGUGGCGGACGGGUGAGUAACACGUGGGUAACCUGCCCUAAAGUGGGGGAUAACAUUUGGAAACAGAUGCUAAUACCGCAUAAAACCUAACACCGCAUGGUGUAGGGUUGAAAGAUGGUUUCGGCUAUCACUUUGGGAUGGACCCGCGGUGCAUUAGUUAGUUGGUGAGGUAAAGGCUCACCAAGACCGUGAUGCAUAGCCGACCUAAGAGGGUAAUCGGCCACACUGGGACUGAGACACGGCCCAGACUCCUACGGGAGGCAGCAGUAGGGAAUCUUCCACAAUGGACGAAAGUCUGAUGGAGCAACGCCGCGUGAGUGAAGAAGGUUUUCGGAUCGUAAAACUCUGUUGUUGGAGAAGAAUGUAUCUGAUAGUAACUGAUCAGGUAGUGACGGUAUCCAACCAGAAAGCCACGGCUAACUACGUG